rnacentral:rRNA from 1 species
ACGAACGCUGGCGGCAUGCCUAACACAUGCAAGUCGAACGAGACCUUCGGGUCUAGUGGCGCACGGGUGCGUAACGCGUGGGAACCUGCCCUUAGGUUCGGAAUAACUCCCCGAAAGGGAUGCUAAUACCGGAUAAUGUCUUCGGACCAAAGAUUUAUCGCCUUUGGAUGGGCCCGCGUUGGAUUAGCUAGUUGGUAGGGUAAAAGCCUACCAAGGCGACGAUCCAUAGCUGGUCUGAGAGGAUGAUCAGCCACACUGGGACUGAGACACGGCCCAGACUCCUACGGGAGGCAGCAGUGGGGAAUAUUGGACAAUGGGCGAAAGCCUGAUCCAGCAAUGCCGCGUGAGUGAUGAAGGCCUUAGGGUUGUAAAGCUCUUUUACCCGGGAUGAUAAUGACAGUACCGGGAGAAUAAGCUCCGGCUAACUCCGUG